GUUCUCUUAGCUUAUACUUUAAAGCACUAAUUUGAAGAGUUAGUUAAAAUUUUUUAAUUAGAGAACA
rnacentral:tRNA from 1 species